rnacentral:rRNA from 1 species
UACGAAGGGGGCUAGCGUUGCUCGGAAUUACUGGGCGUAAAGCGCACGUAGGCGGCUUCUUAAGUCGGUGGUGAAAUCCUGGAGCUCAACUCCAGAACUGCCUUUGAUACUGAAGAUCUUGAGUUCGGGAGAGGUGAGUGGAACUGCGAGUGUAGAGGUGAAAUUCGUAGAUAUUCGCAAGAACACCAGUGGCGAAGGCGGCUCACUGGCCCGAUACUGACGCUGAGGUGCGAAAGCGUGGGGAGCAAACAGG